UACGGAGGGUGCAAGCGUUAUCCGGAUUCACUGGGUUUAAAGGGUGCGUAGGCGGGCAGAUAAGUCAGUGGUGAAAUCUCCGAGCUUAACUCGGAAACUGCCGUUGAUACUAUUUGUCUUGAGUACUGUGGAGGUAGGCGGAAUAUGUCAUGUAGCGGUGAAAUGCUUAGAUAUGACAUAGAAGACCAAUUGCGAAGGCAGCAUACUACACAGCGAUUGACGCUGAGGCACGAGAGCGUGGGGAUCAAACAGG
rnacentral:rRNA from 1 species